UAUGCCCCAAAAAACCUCAGUGGUACUAUUUUUCCAAAUCAUGUUAUUAUGUGGAAAACAUCAAAAAAGAUACAUGGGACAAUGCAAGGAUUGCUUGCCAAGGAUUUAAGAAAGCAGACUUAGUUAAAAUUACAAGCAGCCGUGAAAAGAUGUGGGUACAGUAUAAAGGAGAUGACAGCUGGAUUGGUUUGACCUUCUACAAGCGAUCAUGUCAGUAUCUUUGGACAGAUAACUCAUCUUCAGUUUUUCAAAAUGCAUGGGUGAUUAGGCGAAAUAGAAAAUACAUACCUUCUGAUUAUGAUUGUGGAGUUGCUUUCAAAAAUUAUCUUUCUGUGGUAGAUUGUUCCCAUCAAAGAAAAUGGGUCUGCAAAAGAGAAG